rnacentral:misc_RNA from 1 species
GCUCCGUAGGUGAACCUGCGGAGGGAUCAUUACAGAGUCCAUGCCCUACCGGGUAGAUCUCCCACCCUAUGUUAUUAUUACUUUGUUGCUUUGGCGGGCCGUUAGGCUCCGGCCCGACUACCGGCCCCGGCUGGUAAGCGCCCGCCAGAGGACCCAAAACCCUGAAUAUUAGUGUCGUCUGAGUACUAUAUAAUAGUUAAAACUUUCAACAACGGAUCUCUUGGUUCUG